rnacentral:rRNA from 1 species
UACGAAGGGGGCUAGCGUUGCUCGGAAUUACUGGGCGUAAAGCGCACGUAGGCGGCUUUCUAAGUCGGAGGUGAAAUCCUGGAGCUCAACUCCAGAACUGCCUUCGAUACUGGAGAGCUUGAGUCCGGGAGAGGUGAGUGGAACUGCGAGUGUAGAGGUGAAAUUCGUAGAUAUUCGCAAGAACACCAGUGGCGAAGGCGGCGCACUGGCCCGGUACUGACGCUGAGGCGCGAAAGCGUGGGGAGCAAACAGG